rnacentral:lncRNA from 1 species
GCUGGCAGCCGGGGCUGAGGCAGCCGCCCGGAUCUGCCGGCAGCGCUCUGCGAGCGGGACGGCCCAGCGCGGUUUCCAGUCUGCCGGUGGCGGCGGGUUUAGUAGAAAAUGAUUCAACUGCCGUAAUCGGGGCCAUCACGGCUGGGAAAUCCAACCCCCAGAGAGGAAUCCCCUGGCUCCCUGCCCACACUGUCUGUACCGCGGCCCUCUCAGGCCCCAGCCCGGCCAGUGGAAGGGCUGUCAGCGUGGGCACCGCUCGUUGCACCCACCGGGGCUUCCAGAAGAGCGGGGCUGCCCUGCGGACGGCACUUGGCAGCCCUGCGGGGGAGCAGUGACCUACUUUGGGACGCGCGUAACGAGGCGCGAUAGCAUCGGAGAGAGCGUGAGCCAGGCACGGCUUCCUUUCGGGGAGGAAAUCACCUCCUCUGUGAGGGAGAUAAACCCCAGGAAAAUCAAAGCGGGCUGCGUUAACCCCUACGCGCCCGGCUACCGACACCUCCCUGAGCUAGCGAUCUGUGGCACCACCAGCAGUCCGUGUGACUCACUCGUCCCCAUCCCUGGGGACAUGGCGGGGGUCCUGUUGGCACAGGCGGUCGAGCAUCUCGGUGCCGAUCCCCAGGCAGCCUGGAGGCACCGUUUGCAGAGCACACGAGGGCACCUGACAGCCCUGGGCACAGUGGCCCCCAUAGUGCCAGCAGGAAGUUGCUUGCUCGUGUACUGCGGGGAAAGCAGAGCCCAGGGGCUGCCGCGGGGCAUUCCCGGCCCUGGGGCAGCGCACCCACGCGCUUUGGAACAGAGGGCCGCGGCUCCAGCCGUUCUGCCCUGUGCAGGCACCGGUGUCCACACAGUUCCAGGUACGGCUCUGGCUCCAGUAGUCGAGCAUGAGCUGGUGUGAGGGCCGUCCCCACGGGUGCACGGCUCCUGGAGCAGCGCGGCUGCCUGCAGCGCUGCUCUCUCCCUGCCUGCAGGUAACCUUGGCAGCGCUGUGGCUGGCGGCCAGCGAAUCGCAGCCCCCAGGGCAGCGGGACCGCGCCGUGCCGGCAAGGCAGCGGGUCCUGGUGCAGCCGC